GACGUGCGUGUGUGUGGAGAGUGGCUGUGAAAGCGACACGGGCUCUGUGGGAAGAGAAGUAAGGAGGACUUCUGGGAAGGAAACGAGGUUCUCGGAUGAGCAGGGGCUGUGAUAUGAAAGUGAUCAAGAGAUGGGACCAUCUAGUUGCAAGAGAACAAGCUCAGGGCUCCCCCUGAUUCUACAUGAUGUAUUUGUCUUCACUUUCAAAGAGCGUAAAGUGAAAGAAAGGAGGAAGUCCACACCCUUGGGUUUGGGGGCAUCGGAUCCAGUGUGCAAUGUGAGAAGUAAAAUGAAGAGGAGAAAUGAUCUAGAGAGACUUUCUGAUGAAGCAAACACCAGAUAUCCUAGAAUUUCAGCAAAUCUAAGACUCCGUCAAGUGUUAGAUGCCCCAUUAUUUUAUGUAUUAUUAAUAAAGAAAAAAACACUGCCA
rnacentral:lncRNA from 10 species